GGUUUGUUCCAGAUCCUACUGCUCAGCACACAGAAAGCCAGUCACUGAGACGAUGGUUACUGCCAGUGAAGAAGGCGUGCAUCAGGAGCUGCAGGCUAGGAGAUGGGAGAUGCCGUGAUCUGCUGAGUCUCUGUUCCUUCACACUACCCGGGAGGCCUGAUGGUCAGUUUCCUGAGAAAGGAACUCAAAUAAGACACAUGUCACAUUCUCAAGUUUCAAGACCACAAGGAUCCAUUUCUAUGUUAUUCAGAGAAACCAUGAACAUCAGUUCUCUGGGACAAUCAGGUCAGUUCAACACCAGACCCGAUCUGCCAUGACGCCUGCUGCUCAGCCCUCAGAUAAAGUCCAGAAUCCAGUGUCCUCUCUCCAACCCCAGCCUGGUCCCACACCCAGACCUCCCCGCUACGCCCUGGGCCUCACUGCUGUCCCACCGCAGAGGGGUCAGGGAGCUGCACACACCCCGCGUGCACCUGGGCAUGUCGCAUAUUUCAGAUGCACCUGGUGUCACUGUUCACACAAACCGGAGUGGGAAGAGAUCCAAAUGCUCGUUCACGGCAGAUGGGUGAGGACGUCCCAGCAAGUCCGUCAGGGGAGUCAGCCAGCCCAAGGCGAGUGAGGGACCUCCGGAGACAUGAAUGGGUCUCAGACAGUGUGUGAGUGGACGAAGCAGCAAAAACACACACUGCUAGUUCAGUCAGUUCUGUUGAGCUCAGAAUAGUCCACAUCACGUUGAUGUUUCUAACCUGGGGCGCACAUUCUUCAUUCAGAAUAUGGCAAGGACUUUAGAAGUCAUCUAAAGUAUCAAUAAUUUGAAGUCCUUUAAUACAAAAAGUAUAGAAUAUUACCUUUGUCACAUAGCAACAGGGAAAUGAAAAAAGAAAAUUGACUUAUGUUCUUUAAUGGCUAGGAAAAUGUUCUUAAAAAGGUAUUUCAAGCACAGGUGAAUCUAAGAAAUGACCAAUUUCUUUCUUUACAUAGAUAAAUAUAAGGUUCGAUCCCUGUAAAUAAAUGAAGCCAUUAAGGGUAGAGUCCCACAGAUCACAGAACUGACCCAGCAUCCAGCUCUGCUCACGAUUUCAGGGAGUAAUUUCCAGGCACAGGUCGAGCUGGAGAAGCUGGGGACCCUUGUGGCCCCACUGUCCUUCCUGCCUCACAGGGUCUCUGAGGGGUGCCUGGAACAUUUCCUCUUGGGCUUUGAAGAUCAUUUCACUGAAACGCGACAUUUUCCAGGUGCCAUGGGCCUGAGCCCAGAAACUUCACCUGCGACAGUGGCUCCCCAGGAGUGAGCACCAGGCACUGUCAGGGGUUCUCUCCCAGCACUUUUACAAGGACUUGAUGGGUUCUUCUUCCUUCAGGAGCAAUCCCAGUGGGCAGAGGGAGGGGACGGGAGGCCUGGCAAAUGCUCCUCCCCAGCUCUGUUCCGAGCUCCAUGGGGCUCUGGCAGGCCUGACAUCUCGUGCAGAUGAGGGAUUAGGGUUCCUCCCCUGCCUCACUGCUCUCAGGCCCUCAUGGCACCCUCCCCACCCCCGCAGCCGGCGGACCCUGCUCCCACCCAGCUGUUCUCAGGACUCUCAUCCUUCCAGGACGACACCCUACCUGGAGCACCCGUUCCUGUGGCGCCCCCAGUCCUGCACUGCAGCAUUCACCCUGUCACCUCCAUGGCGAGACCAUCCUGGAACCGUGAUCAGCCCAUCGGUGUCAUCCACUGUCCUCCUAGCCCAUUUUCUGUGCUUGUUCCUCAUUCCCAAAACAUCCUGAAAUUACAAGAAAUUAACUUUUUUCAAGUCUCUGUGCUUCUGAGGCACGUGGACUCCCUUUAAUCCAGUGACUGUCAGGUCGAUCAUAUGUAAAUAUCAGCAGAUGGACACGCCUGGGCUUCUUUGUAUCCGACCCGCUUGGGUACCCGCUGUGUUUCCUUUGUCUGUGGGUCUGUAUCACUUUCCUCCCUUCUGGAAUUCCGCUUAGAUGAGCGUAGGCCCUUUCAUCCCUCUCCCCCCGUCUCUGUACCUUUUCAUGUCUCUCCGUGUCUGUUUGCUUUAUUCUUUAUUCUGAUUAUUGUUAAUGUACUGUUUGUUUAACCUGUCCUUUCAGUUUCUAAUUCUAAAGAUGACAUAUAUUUAAAAUUUCUAAAUUAUUAGUUACUUUUACAUCUUAUCUGGGUGUUUCUGAUAGACAUUGCUUAUUUAUUUUUGUGAUUCCAUCCUUUAUUUAUUCAAAUUUUUUUUUUUUUUUGAGAUGGAGUCUCGC